GAUGAACGCUGGCGGCGUGCCUAAUACAUGCAAGUCGAGCGAACAGACGAGGAGCUUGCUCCUCUGACGUUAGCGGCGGACGGGUGAGUAACACGUGGAUAACCUACCUAUAAGACUGGGAUAACUUCGGGAAACCGGAGCUAAUACCGGAUAAUAUAUUGAACCGCAUGGUUCAAUAGUGAAAGACGGUUUUGCUGUCACUUAUAGAUGGAUCCGCGCCGCAUUAGCUAGUUGGUAAGGUAACGGCUUACCAAGGCAACGAUGCGUAGCCGACCUGAGAGGGUGAUCGGCCACACUGGAACUGAGACACGGUCCAGACUCCUAAGGGAGGCAGCAGUAGGGAAUCUUCCGCAAUGGGCGAAGGCCUGACGGAGCAACGCCGCGUGAGUGAUGAAGGUCUUCGGAUCGUAAAACUCUGUUAUUAGGGAAGAGCAAAUGUGUAAGUAACUAUGCACGUCUUGACGGUACCUAAUCAGAAAGCCACGGCUAACUACGUG
rnacentral:rRNA from 1 species